rnacentral:piRNA from 1 species
UAUGCAUGUAUGAAGUGACCCUCCCUGUG